CUACUUUUCAAUCUCUCUGGGGAUUAAAAUAGGUCACUCUGCCUAAAGAGAGUCUUGUUUUAUGUCAUUUCCUGAACAGGCCAUAUGUACUCAUCAGCUAGCAGUAAGGCCCCCACCCACAUCUGCUCUAUCUCCCGGAGCUGGUUGUUAACAUCCACCCUUCUUCUGAAGCCCAGGGUACAGUAGGGCUACAGAGAAUGUUGGCAUCUUACCAGUCUGCAGUGUGAUUUAGGCCAGGCAAUGCAGAUUUAGUACGGCUUCUUUUAUUCAUAAGCAAGGAGAGCCUGAGGAUGCUGAGCCUCACCUCUGUGUUGGAGAUCACCAACAAAUGAGCAGCGUGCCCUGAGUCUUCCACCAGAAGCAAAUUGUAAGAGGGAAAGAACAAGUAAGUGUUAUGGGUUAGUCAUUUUUUUUUUUUUUUUUUUGCAUAGAAAACAAGCAAAGAAAUAUCUAGAAAUUACAGCUGUUGAGGGAUCAUGUUUGGGGGAGAGGGUAGUGUCAUUAAGUCCUGAAGGGAAAAAAAGUGGAACAUAGUCCCCACGCAUGGUCCUAAAUUUAAAUAUUUUUAGGACCAUGCUGAGAAAUAAAUAACUACAGAAGAAUGGGAUCUUGUGUUUAUGAAACAUCUUUGUGCACAUUAUGGAGGGAGAAGUGGCAUUGGCACUUUCAUGACCUAUGUCAGGGACUCUCUUAGGUUUUUUAUAGACGCAGUCUAACUUCCUUCUUACAAAAUUGGUCUCAUUCCCAUAUUUACAGCUGAAGAGACAACUUUAGAAUUAAACAUUUGUCCCAUGAUUAGGCAGCUAGUAAGUGGCAGGGUACCCUAUUUCCAAAUGUCAGACUGCCUUGAGAGGCAUGUCCAUUUAAA
rnacentral:lncRNA from 1 species